UUUCCGGAAUCGACUUUUGUUUUAUCACCGGAAGUGAUAUUGAAAUUUCAAUUUUGAAACUAAAACAGAUCAACAAAGAGAGCGAAGAAAAUUGUUUGUUACGCGAUAUAUACUCACUUGGAGCUAAAAGAAAAGCAACAAAGGAUAAGUUCAAUAUGCAUGAUAUGCAGGUUUACAAUUUGGAAGUGGCGCAGGUUCUUUGGAAUGUCUACAACCUUUCAGGAGAAUUUUUUUUUUCAAAAGCAUGGCACAGCAAGAAAAAGAUAUAAGACACUACAAGACAAUCUAAGUGACUUUGAAUAAGACAAUUGAUUGACUUUUUCAAUGUAUUCUUAAAUAAAUCAAAUAGUUGAUGUAAAA